rnacentral:rRNA from 1 species
GACAGAGGUGCCGAGCGUUAGGCGGAAUCACUGGGCUUAAAGCGUGUGUAGGCGGGUGCCUAAGUACCUUAUGAAAUCCCACGGCUCAACCGUGGAACUGCUUGGUAUACUGGCGGUCUUGAGCCACUUAGGGGCUACCGGAACAAAUGGUGGAGCGGUGAAAUGCGUAGAUAUCAUUUGGAACGCCAAUGGUGAAAACAGGUAGCUGGGAGUGUGCUGACACUGAGACACGAAAGCCAGGGGAGCAAACGGG